CCGCACUGAGCGCCGGGGAGGACCUGCAGAGGGGUUAUGUAACGAGCUAUCAGCCUCCUGUUAUUGGCCCUUCUGAGGGCCGAGACGGGCCCGCCCAGCGAGAGGCAGGGGCCAAGUCUGGUCACUCAUCGACCAGAGAGAUAUUUGGCGGAGGCCUUGCUGGGGAUCUUGACGAAGGAAAGCUCCUUGCUGUAUCUGGUCAUGUUGCACGGCGUCUCACACACACAGACGUCGUUGUCUCUCUCCACCAGGAAAUCUGCAGAGAGGAAAACCAGAGCUCAGCGUGACCUUUUCCACAGAUCUGUGCUGCUGUGACUUAAAGAUGUCACGAGAUGAUGGAGACAAACGUCUGAAAACCGGGUGCCACUCCAAAUCCGAGCUGGUCAAUGAAGGACGGCUCGUCCUGACUGUGGAUCUGAACUUUGACCCCAGCUUCAAAAGACGUCUCAUCUGCAGGAAUUCAAAGAAUGAGGGAUCACAGCAACACGCUUUCACAAUGUGUUCCACCAAUGAAUCCAGACACUCGAGUUCAUGUCUCGGAGUUUUUCACUCUGAGGUAUUGACACACCCACACGCUGCUAGAGAGUGACAGAUAACCAGACACGGCAGCCAGUGAAUGAUGUCCC